rnacentral:rRNA from 1 species
UUCGGGGUGNCAGGCGAUACGGGCAUAACUAGAGUGCUGUAGGGGAGACUGGAAUUCCUGGUGUAGCGGUGGAAUGCGCAGAUAUCAGGAGGAACACCGAUGGCGAAGGCAGGUCUCUGGGCAGUAACUGACGCUGAGGAGCGAAAGCAUGGGGAGCGAACAGGAUUAGAUACCCUGGUAGUCCAUGCUGUAAACGGUGGGCGUUAGGUGUGGGGACCGGUUUGGUUUCUGUGCCGUAGCUAACGCAUUAAGCGCCCCGCCUGGGGAGUACGGCCGCAAGGCUAAAACUCAAAGGAAUUGACGGGGGCCCGCACAAGCGGCGGAGCAUGUGGAUUAAUUCGAUGCAACGCGAAGAACCUUACCUGGGUUUGACAUGCACCAGACGGUUGUAGAGAUACGUACCUCCCUUUGUGGUUGGUGUGCAGGUGGUGCAUGGUUGUCGUCAGCUCGUGUCGUGAGAUGUUGGGUUAAGUCCCGCAACGAGCGCAACCCUUGUCUUAUGUUGCCAGCACGUUUAGGGUGGGGACUCAUGAGAGACUGCCGGGGUUAACUCGGAGGAAGGUGGGGAUGACGUCAAAUCAUCAUGCCCUUUAUGCCCAGGGCUUCACACAUGCUACAAUGGUUAGUACAACGCGCUGCGAACCUGUGAGGGUGAGCGAAUCGCUGAAAGCUAAUCUCAGUUCGGAUUGGGGUCUGCAACUCGACCCCAUGAAGUCGGAGUCGCUAGUAAUCGCAGAUCAGCAAUGCUGCGGUGAAUACGUUCCCGGGCCUUGUACACA